UAUCAAUGAUGAGGGCAAGCAGUGAUAUACUCCUGGAGUCUCUUCCAUGCUUCAGUAGCGGUCUUGUUAGUGAGCUGAGCAAAGCUAGUGAUCUUGUUGUGCAGCUA